rnacentral:rRNA from 1 species
AGUGAACGCUGGCGGUAGGCCUAACACAUGCAAGUCGAACGGCAGCACAGUAAGAGCUUGCUCUUACGGGUGGCGAGUGGCGGACGGGUGAGGAAUACAUCGGAAUCUACUUUUUCGUGGGGGAUAACGCAGGGAAACUUACGCUAAUACCGCAUACGACCUACGGGUGAAAGCAGGGGAUCUUCGGACCUUGCGCGAUUGAAUGAGCCGAUGUCGGAUUAGCUAGUUGGCGGGGUAAAGGCCCACCAAGGCGACGAUCCGUAGCUGGUCUGAGAGGAUGAUCAGCCACACUGGAACUGAGACACGGUCCAGACUCCUACGGGAGGCAGCAGUGGGGAAUAUUGCACAAUGGGCGCAAGCCUGAUCCAGCCAUACCGCGUGGGUGAAGAAGGCCUUCGGGUUGCAAAGCCCUUUUGUUGGGAAAGAAAGGCAGCAGGUUAAUACCCCGCUGUUCUGACGGUACCCAAAGAAUAAGCACCGGCUAACUUCGUG